rnacentral:rRNA from 1 species
AGUGAACGCUGGCGGCGUGCCUAAUACAUGCAAGUCGAACGAAGUGGCGCACGGGUGAGUAAUAUAUAGUUAAUCUGCCCUACACAGAGGAACAACAGUUGGCAACGACUGCUAAUACCUCAUAUUGUAGGAUGAGACUAUAUCGUAUCAGCUAGUUGUUACGUUGAUGGCUUACCAAGGCGAUGACGCGUAACUGGUCUGAGAGGAUGAGCAGUAACAUGCGAACUGAGACACGGUCCAAACUCCUACGAGAGGCAGCAGUAAGGUAUAUUGCGCAAUGGGGGAAACCCAGACGCAGCAACGCCGUGUGGAGGAUGACACGUUUCGGAGCUUAAACUCCUUUUAUCAGGAAAGCGGUACCUGAUGAAUAAGCACCGGCUAACUCCGUGCCAGCCGCCGCGGUAAUAC